rnacentral:rRNA from 1 species
AUUGAACGCUGGCGGCAGGCCUAACACAUGCAAGUCGAACGGUAACAGAGAGUAGCUUGCUACUUUGCUGACGAGUGGCGGACGGGUGAGUGAUGUCUGGGGAUCUGCCUGAUGGAGGGGGAUAACUACUGGAAACGGUAGCUAAUACCGCAUAAUGUCGCAAGACCAAAGCGGGGGACUUUCGGGCCUCGCACCAUCGGAUGAACCCAGAUGGGAUUAGCUAGUAGGUAGGGUAAUGGCUUACCUAGGCGACGAUCCCUAGCUGGUCUGAGAGGAUGACCAGCCACACUGGAACUGAGACACGGUCCAGACUCCUACGGGAGGCAGCAGUGGGGAAUAUUGCACAAUGGGCGCAAGCCUGAUGCAGCCAUGCCGCGUGUAUGAAGAAGGCCUUCGGGUUGUAAAGUACUUUCAGUCAGGAGGAAGGGUGUGAAAUUAAUACUUUCAUGCAUUGACGUUACUGACAGAAGAAGCACCGGCUAACUCCGUGCCAGCCGCCGCCGUAA